rnacentral:rRNA from 1 species
ACACGUAGGAGGCAAACGUUAUCCGGAUUUACUGGGCGUAAAGCGCGUGUAGGUGGUUCUGUAAGUAGGACGUGAAAACUCCCGGCUCAACUGGGAGAGGCCGUUCUAAACUACAGAACUAGAGGAUGGUAGAGGGAGGUGGAAUUCCAGGUGUAGCGGUGGAAUGCGCAGAUAUCUGGAGGAACACCAGUGGCGAAGGCGGCCUCCUGGACCAUUCCUGACACUCAGACGCGAAAGCUAGGGUAGC